AGCACACACACUGAAGGCUUGCUUGAGGCCAUCUCCUCACCUUGCUGGUUCUGCCUCAGGAGGGCUGAGCUGGAGCCCGAGACUCUACAUUUCUAAUGAGCUCCAGAUGAUAUCCCGCUGCUGAUCCGUGGACCACCCUUUGAGAUGUGAAGGUGAGGACAAGUUCAUGCCCUUUUUGGACAUCCUAGAACAAACGCUCUCCAGUGGAUUCAGAUAUUACCUGUCACAUGGACUCCUUUUGGGCAGUAUUGCAUCAUCCUGUUCCUCUGGAAACAUAAAUACCUACUUCUGUGUGUGAGACUCUGUGCUGGAUUUUCUGGGACAUCAAAGUCUCUGUUGUACGGCAGGGCCUCUGUCUUAGGAGCUUAUACUCAACACCUAAACAUGAAAAUGUAGGCAGCCAGUCAAAGGACCUAUUCUGAGUGCUAAAGGAGGGCUGUAGGCGGUGACUGAGAGGGAGACUCCAGGGUCUAUUCGAAAUUCUGUAGAGAACUUCAGUCCGCAUACUUCCUUUGAAACGUUGAGGAGUAACACAUGCUCCAGAUGCAGGGCUGCAUUAAUGAGUCUUCAGUUUUAAUGUGAGAGUCGUGUCUCUGUGUAUAAAUAUAUGCUCCCAUAGG
rnacentral:lncRNA from 1 species